rnacentral:rRNA from 1 species
UACGUAGGGUGCAAGCGUUGUCCGGAAUUAUUGGGCGUAAAGAGUGCGUAGGCGGUUCUUGAAGUCCGCUGUGAAAGCCCCGGGCUUAACCUGGGAAUGGCCAUGGAAACUGGCGAACUGGAGUGUGGCAGAGGGGGGUGGAAUUCCGCGUGUAGCAGUGAAAUGCGUAGAGAUGUGGAGGAAUACCGAUGGCGAAGGCAGCCCCCUGGGAUAACACUGACGCUCAUGCACGAAAGCGUGGGGAGCAAACAGG